rnacentral:lncRNA from 1 species
CGUUUGAUGACUCUGCGUAAAGCAGCCAAGGAUGUAGAUGCUUCUGUUGGCAAGGGUGUGUUUGCCGGCUGCUCAGAAUUGGGAGCUUCCUCCCCAGACAAGUAGGAAUUAGGGUGUAGACAGCUGGGGUCAGGAACCAAGGAGGCAGGAAAGAGGAGGAAACAGAGCCCCAACAAGAGCCUAGCCAUUCAAAGCUGCCAACAAAAGACACCACUGGAGCUGCGCUUCCUGUCCGCAUCUGGCUUUCUCCUGGGAAAAUGGCCAUGACAAAAGAAACCCAUUAAACUUUUGUGUUCAAAUUAUAUUUUGC